rnacentral:tmRNA from 1 species
CUUUUUGGAGCAAAAGAAAAGAUAUGGUAUAAUAAAAAAGUCAGUUUAUGACUAUGGCGAUAAACGAUUCGCGCAAUAGGCUUAAUGGACCAGGGGGCGGUACCCUGCGUCUCCGCCAAUUUUUAUGGGGACGAAAUAGGUUCGACAUUUGGCAGUAAAGGCGUUUUCUUUCGUUCGGCAUUGUUCCGCCGUUAUCGGGCUAAUUUUAAUAGAUGCCAAUCUUAAUAGAAAAGGCAGAGGUCGCGUAGCAAACCGUCAAAGUGAAGCUGCUGCAUUGAAAGUUGCUUAAUAGCCUUAUUGGUUGUUAAGCCUUUUAGUUCUUGCUAUUUUUAAAUAAAUAGUAGCGAUCCGCGGUCUGGGGGAAACCGAGCAACAGAAUUCCCCCGUU